ACCUUGGUGGCUCAGUCGGUUGAGCGUCUGACUUCGACUCAGGUCAUGAUCUUGCGUCCGUGAGUUCGAGCCCCGCGUAGGGCU
rnacentral:tRNA from 1 species